GAUGAACGCUGGCGGCGUGCCUAACACAUGCAAGUCGAGCGGAAGCACGAGAAGCUCUCGUCUCUGCUGUUGGCGGCGGGCGGGUGAGUAACAUGUAGAUAACCUACCUAUAAGACUGGGAUAACUUCGGGAGACCGGAUAUAAUACCGGAGCAUAUUUUGAACGGGAGGGUUCAAAGGAGCUACAGGGUUUUGCUGACACUAGUAGAUGAUUCCGCGUUGCAUUGGUUAGUUGGUAAGGUAACGGCUCACCAAGGCGACGAUGCGUAGCUGACCGGAGAGGAUGAUCAGCCACACGGGAACUGAGACACGGUCCAGACUCCUACGGGAGGCAGCAGUGGGGAAUAUUGGACAAAGGGCGAAAGCCUGAUCCAGCCAUGCCGCGUGGGUGAAGAAGGCGUUCGGAUUGUAAAGCACUUUUAGUGGGGAGGAAAAGCAGUAGGUUAAUACCUGGCUGUUUUGACGGUACCCAAAGAAGAAGCACCGGCUAACUUCGUG
rnacentral:rRNA from 1 species